AGUGACUUCCCUGACUAGACCUUGAAGUUAAGAACAGAACUUUACACUCUUUUCUACCCAGCACCCUACAACUUGUGCCCAGUAGAGGAUCUAUAGAAACCUGCUGUUUCUGCCGCUGUUGCUAUUUUUGCCUUGGCUGCUGAAGAAUGAAAUAGACCUACCUCUACGCAAUCAAUAUGGACUUCAUUGAAAUAUCGUGUGUCAAUUGGAUUUCAUCCCUUAAUCACACUGGCAGAGAAAAGAGGGUAGUGGCUGCUUUGGAGAAUGGAGGAAGCCAGAAAGAAGAUAAAGAGUGAAGAUACAAGAAGACAACGGGAUAAGAUUCAGGGAAGAGAGAAGGUCAUAGAGCUGAGAAGGAAUUGACUUUUCUUCAUGUUAAGGGUGGCAGAGGGGAAGACUUCAGCUGAUCACUAUUCAGGUACAUCUGGAUCCAGGAAUAAGAAACCGUAUGGUGUCCAACUCCUUCAAAAUGGACUUGGAUCUUUUCAACAGUCACAUCAUCUGCAUUAUGCAUUUUCAGCCUCUCCUCUGUGAGUUAAAUCUUUAAAGCCUACAAACAUGUCCAUAUUUCUCCAGCAUCCAGCAACAAUUAAUACGUGAACUGUGAACUUCCUGAUGUUCAAGCUGGUUUUAGAAAAGGCAGAGGAACCAGAGAUCAAAUUGCCAACAUCUGCU
ensembl:lncRNA